rnacentral:rRNA from 1 species
GGUGAACGCUGGCGGUAGGCCUAACACAUGCAAGUCGAACGGCAGCACUGUAAGAGCUUGCUCUUACGGGUGGCGAGUGGCGGACGGGUGAGGAAUACAUCGGAAUCUACUUUUUCGUGGGGGAUAACGUAGGGAAACUUACGCUAAUACCGCAUACGACCUACGGGUGAAAGCAGGGGAUCUUCGGACCUUGCGCGAUUGAAUGAGCCGAUGUCGGAUUAGCUAGUUGGCGGGGUAAAGGCCCACCAAGGCGACGAUCCGUAGCUGGUCUGAGAGGAUGAUCAGCUACACUGGAACUGAGACACGGUCCAGACUCCUACGGGAGGCAGCAGUGGGGAAUAUUGGACAGUGGGCGCAAGCCUGAUCCAGCCAUACCGCGUGGGUGAAGAAGGCCUUCGGGUUGUAAAGCCCUUUUGUUGGGAAAGAAAAGCAGCAGGUUAAUACCCCGCUGUUCUGACGGUACCCAAAGAAUAAGCACCGGCUAACUUCGU